CCAUCUUGUAAAAAAGACCACUGAGAAUUCAUCUGGACAAAAAAUUAAAAAGAAAUUAAAUAAACUUGUACCUUUUACUGUAAGCACCAGUGUGAGUGAUUACACAGAAUGUAUCAGAGAAAGCUAAAUAUUACUAUGAAACUGCCCAAGCUGAAAGUGCAGACUCUGCCUCAAACAUAAUUUUUACUAAAGAUUUAUAGUGAUAACUGAUAACUGCCCAAGCUGAAAGUGCAAACUCUGUCUCGAACGUUUCACUAAAGAUUAAGAGUGAAAACUACCCAAGCUGAAAGUGCAGACUCAGACUGUCUCAAACAUUUCACUAAAGAUUUACAGUGAAAACUACCCAAACUGAAAGUGCAGACUCUGUUUUUUUACAGUAUAAACUGCCUACGCCGAUAGUCCAAACGUUACUUACCAACUUUCAUUUCCAUAAAGUGGUGCCAGAAACCGUAAGUACAUGUAUU